rnacentral:pre_miRNA from 1 species
UCUCGCACAGGCUGACCGCUUUCGUGUGGUGUUCAGAGUUCCCAACACGUCUAGCACCAUUCGAAAUCGGUUACUAUGUGCAGGGACUUCCAGCAG